rnacentral:misc_RNA from 1 species
GUGAAUCAUCGAAUUUUUGAACGCAUAUUGCACUCUCUGGUAUUCCGGAGAGUAUGCCUAUUUGAGGGUCAUUUGAAAUAAUAUAACUUCCAAGAUUUCUCGCAAUUUAAAAUGGGAUGUCCAUUUUUUGUGGUCUCUUAAAAUCCAAGAACAGCUCAUUUUCUUGGUUUGUGUGCUACUUUCAGUUAACAA